rnacentral:tRNA from 2 species
GCCGUGGUGGUGAAAUUGGUAGACACGCUAGCUUCAGGAGCUAGUUCCCGCAAGGGAUUGGGAGUUCGAGUCUCCCCCGCGGCACAA